UUGCGUAGGUGGUCUUAUAAGCAGAACGUGAAAGCGUACGGCUCAACCGUAUAUACAUGUUCUGAACUGUAGGACUAGAGGGCGAGAGAGGUAACUGGAAUUCCAAGUGUAGGAGUGAAAUCCGUAGAUAUUUGGAGGAACACCGAUGGCGUAGGCAGGUUACUGGCUCGCACCUGACACUAAGGCACGAAAGCGUGGGGAGCAAACG
rnacentral:rRNA from 1 species